rnacentral:misc_RNA from 1 species
UUUCCGUAGGUGAACCUGCGGAAGGAUCAUUAAAAAAUUGGACUCCAUUGGUGAGUUCAUUAAUAAUCCCUACCCUUUGUGAAUUUGUUUGUUUGAAUAAUUUUUUUUCCAAAAAAAAAUUAUUGAAUGUCUUUCCCUGUUUUGGUGGAGCUUGUAAAGUGAAACCAGGCAGGGGAAUGGCAAACAAUAAUUAUUUUUGAAAAAAGACCUUUUUUUAAAAUUAAACUUUUUGUAUUCAUUUGUCUAAAAUUAUUUUUAUAAUAUAAAAACAACUUUUGACAAUGGAUCUCUUGGUUCUCGCAACGAUGAAGAACGCAGCAAAAUGCGAUAAGUAGUGUGAAUUGCAGAAUACGUGAAUCAUCGAAUCUUCGAACGCAUAUUGCACUUUUUUAGUUUACUAAAAAAGUAUGUCUGUUUGAGUAUCAGUAAAAUAUUCUCAUAAAAAACAUUGUUUUUUUAUGGUUAUGAGUGUUUUACAACGAUAACAAGUUGUUUCACUUUAAAUUCUCUGUUAUCAAAAAAAUCAUUAAAAGCUAAUUUUAAAGAUUUUUUAAAAUUGGAUAAAAUUUUCCCGUAAAAAGGAAUAACCUAAACAAUUUUAAAAAAUUAAAAUUGGUUUGAUUUUUUUUGAAACCCAAAGGAAAAAAAACGAAAUUAACUUGAUCUCAAAUCAGAUAAGAGUACCCGCUGAACUUAAGCAUAUCAAUAAGCGGAGGAAAAGAAACUAACUAGGAUUCCCUCAGUAACGGCGAGUGAAGCGGGAAGAGCUCAAAUUUGAAAUCUUCAAGGUUUUACCUUGACGAAUUGUAGUUUAAAGAAGUGUUUUCUGUUGGAGUUUUGGUAAAAGUUCUUUGGAAAAGGACAUCAUAGAGGGUGAGAAUCCCGUAUUUGACCAUUAUCUCCAGCUUUGUGAUACACUUUCAAAGAGUCGGAUUGUUUGGGAAUGCAGUCCAAAAUGGGUGGUAAAUUUCAUCUAAAGCUAAGUACUGGCGAGAGACCGAUAGCGAACAAGUACCGUGAGGGAAAGAUGAAAAGAACUUUGAAAAGAGAGUUAAACAGUACGUGAAAUUGUCAAAAGGGAAGCGUUUGACACCAGUGUUGUUUUCUCGAAAAUCAAUUAAAAAAGGCCGGAUUUUGUGUUGUAUUGACUUUAUCAGCUUUCUGCACUUUUUUCUUGUCUUUUUUAAUGCACUUUUCGUUUAACAAGUCAACAUCAAUUUCUUUUGUUGUAAAAGGGUCAUUGGAAGGUGGCUUUCUUUUCGGAGAAAGUGUUUAUAGCCUUUGGCCUCUGCAAUCGGAGAGAUUGAGGUCUGCAGCGUAGAUCCUUCGGGGUUAGAUACAUUUGUGCUAAGUUAUAGCCUUUCAUAGACAACUUGUUGACUAUGAUCAGUCAUGUAGCUUACUCGCUUAUGCUAUUU